AUUGACUGUCUCAUCACAAUUUGGGAAGAUGUAGAUUGCAAAGUCAAAGGUUACAGAUACCCUAGCAACCUGACAACUGCUGAUGCGGAUGCUCUGAAAUUCAUCGAAUUUGACAGCUGUAAGAGGAAAUAUGGAAAGUGUAAAAUUAGCAGCAGAUGGCGGAAAUGAUGAUCAUCAGUUAAACUGUUAUGGCUUGGUAUUUCCUGACAACUGUGACACAUAUUACGGGCCACACAGUGUUCAAUGUCUUACAACCAUCUGGAAAUGGAAAGGUUGUUUAGGUGAAGGAACCAGAGCCCCAGUUAAAUUGGAUCAUGCUGAUAAAGAAGCUGUGGAUUUGCUCACUGUAGAGUAAGUUUGUUUGCAUUUUGAAAACUGACCAAAGGUCAUCCAAGGUCACACCAAAUAACAAGACUUCUUGCUCCAAUGCAUGUAAUAUGAGAAUGACACUUUGGCACACACUCAGCUUAUAUAGGAACACAAAAUC